rnacentral:lncRNA from 1 species
AUUACCUAAAUGGCAAUUGGCACAUACAAUACGCCCAGUCGCUUCUCGUGGAUUUUCAUAACCCUGCUGUGCAAAAAUGGGAUAUGCACUUGAAAUGGAUGUCCGAGUUAAGAUAUAUAUCAUGAGCGAUACGGAAAUAGAUCGAGUAAUCUGUUUCUUUAGCCAAGAAAAAGCAUUUCUAGUUUGCAUGGUCCAAUCAUUGAUCGCGAAAAUUUCUACAAUAAAUUGGGUAGGUCGCUAGUAUAGUUCCCUAUCCACGAUUCUACUAUUUACUGGAAUAAUCUAGAAAUAAUAUAGGAUGAAUCUUCCUGAUGGUUAGAAAUAGAAAGAUAAAAUACGAUUUUCAAUACUUUUCUUAUGUUCAACUACAAAGUACCAAGCAUUCGAAUUGGAUUAGAUUAGUAUCAAUGGAUCCUUUAUUAGUCAUUCAUUGAAUGAUAAAUAACUACAAGUGACGGAGAUAGGAGAUUUAAAUAACGGAAAAUCCAAUAUUUAAAAAUUGUAUCAAGAAUGACUGGGAAGGAAGAAACAAGACCAGAUAUAAUUUGAUCAUUAUGAACAAACCCAAAAUCUUUAUAGAUAGAGCCAAUAAUUAAUUCCCAACCGCGGGGUGAAUGGAAUCCGAUACAUAAAUCAGUUAAUAAAAGAAUAGAAAAAGCUUUUACUGUGUCACUUACGUUAUAUAGGAAUUCCUGAGCCCAAGAGUUAAGAAUAAUUAAGAAUAAUAAGUUUUUCAGUACCCAAAAUUGAAUACCCACUUAGAAUAAUAAAACAGAUGAUAUUUGUUGAGAAGUGAAAAAUCAUAUGGAUACAAUUCCCAUUUUGCGUCUUGAUUAAUUGGAUCGUUUCUUUAUGGAUUCCAAUCCCAAACUCUUCGAGAUGUGUUUCUGAGUAUUCCUUGAUCAUUUCGUCUAAGAAGAGGUGUUCCUCUAAUUCUAUGAAUUUUUCUAGAAGACUCUUUUCUUAAAUAGUAUUCAAGAAAAUUUUGGAUUGCCCAGUAUUCCACCAAUUAGUAACCCAAGAUUCCAGACAUUUAUUAACUGAGAAAGAAAUCCACCAGGGAAAAAAUACUAUAUAUGCAAGAUAGAAAAGAGGGGUGAAUGCUUUCUUUUUUGCCAUUUUUUCAUCUGUGAAUUGUUAAUCAACCCAUCCGUACACUCUAUGCGAUCGAAUAUUUCUUACACACAUGAGUUUUAUACAAGGUAUCGAACUUAUGAAUCUAUUUUCUUUGUGAUUUUGUGGUUAGUAUUUGAAUCUAGAAAGAAUAUAGAAAUAGGCUAAGAAUUCACUUCGAAUGAAGAAAUUGAGAAUAUUGUUUCCUGAUAUCUCAAUUGGUCAAAUUCAAAAUCAAGUGUCUCCUUUCGAUGAAUGAUCGAAAGAACCACUUUAAGUAAUGAAUAUUGUUCAGAUUUUGAGAAGAAAGAACUCCCUUGCUAUCAAAAUAUCCAAUAUUUCGAAAAAAUUUCACUAAUUACCCAUAGUCAGGAAUAGAAUAAUUGAGGGAAAGAUAUUACGAUGAUAAAAAAAAAUGACUGGCAAAAGAUAAAUUGGCUAGUUCUCAUUAUUUAAUUAAGAAAUCCAAUUGUUGGUCAUUAAAGAAUACAAAAGAAAGAAUUUCCAAUUUACAAGAUAUGAUCUAUCUGGAUCUAAAGUGUCAAUUCCAACAAAUAUUGAACUAAAAAAAAUUUCUUGAUUUCGAAAUGGUUUGCCAUCUGAGAUGAAUCUAUUAUUUCGAUUUGUUAUUUGUUAUUGAAUUGCGUGGGUUUACAUACGCAUAAAGACCAUAAAAAGAGUUUCGUUUUAUGGUUCUUUCAUAUACGUUUUCUUUAAUUGAAUGAACGUUCUGAUUCUCAAUUUCUCAAAAUACUUCAAUUGGUACACGCAAGAAAUAGGCUAAUUCAGCAGCCUUUUGUUCAAUUUCUCGUGGAGUCAAAUUCUCAUCAGUACGGGUUAAGGGAAUGGACCCCUGGCCUCGGAUGUCCAUAUAAAGAACACGACGAGCAUAAAUACCCUCUUUAACUUCUAUUCUAACGGACUGAAUAUCUUUUAUAAGGAAUCGGAGGAAUAUGCGACGAUUUUUUCCCGGAAAUCCCCAACGAAAAAUACAGACUAUUCCUUCCUUUAUAUCGAAUCGAUCAUAACCACUACCUACAUUCCAGGAAAUUGUGCACCACAAAUAAGAGCUAAUAAAGAGACCCGCAAUUCCGUAGAAAGACAUCACGAUUCCUUGUGGAAAAAAAAUGAUUUGCUGAGGCGGAAAAAAAGAUAUCAAAUUUCUACCAAGAUAACUGGAAGUUCCAACUAAUAAGAAGCCUAAUGAACCUAAAAAAAGGAUAAAGGCCCAGCAGAAAUUACUUAUUUUUCGAGACCCCGUUAUAAGUUCUAUCCAUAUAUGUUCUGAUCGCCAAGUCAUACUUUACCCGAUUGCAUUUUAUUAGAAUUGAGAUAAUACCCCAUAGAAAUUUGACUUUACUUUUUUGUUUCCGAAGUAACUCUCAUCAACUAGCACUAGUUUGAGGUGAACUAGCACUAGUUUGAUGUCAACCUUUAGGAGUAAUUCAUCAAAUUGGUUAAAUCUAAAAUAAUAACAUACUCUUUAUUUAAUACGAUCCCACUAUACAUAUCGAUAUACAUAGAGAUUAACCGACUACAUUUCAGCCAUCCAGUGAUCCUGAUCUAUUUGAAAAUUACUAGAAUGGAUAUAUCCAUAUAUCAUGUUUCUGCAGGCAUAAGAGUUUUUUCCUUUAUGUUCGGUAGAAAUCACAUGUUAUACUCUAUUCCAAUAAAUAGAUAUCCGUGUUAUGAUACAAGUCCACGUUUUCAAAAAAAAAUGGAUGAGAUUGGGUCCCAGCGUAUCUAAACAAUCUUGUUUUUUUGAACAUGAAUAAAUAAAGAAGCCAUUGCAAUUGCCGGAAAGACUAGGCCUACUAACGGCACAAAAAUAGAUGGAAGGUUCAAAUUUGUCAUAGAAGGGGUACCUCGAUUUACUAUAUUGUAUCUGUUAUUAUGUUAUUAUAUAAAUAAAGAUAUCUUGUAAUAAUUAAAUAAUUAUAAUUAAAUUAAGAAUUUGAAUUCUAAUUAGAUAAUAUUUAUUAUUAAUAGAAUUUGAAGAAUUUGAAAUUCUUAGUAUAGAUCUAAGUAUCUAUAUAUCUAAAUCUAACUGAGUACGUAUAAUAAGAAUAAGUGCAAAGAAUGUAGAACUAAAUAAAUGGACUUAUUCAUCUCUUACAUGAGAAAGAUAUGUAUCAUAAUAAACUUUAUUAUUCAUUUCUUUGUCUUUUGUUCUUGUCUUCUAAUUUUCUAAAAAUAGAUAAAGAGAUUAUCGAAAGAUUCGUUCGAAUCCGACCCAACAUGAAUUUUUAGCUAAAAUGGUUUUUAGGGAGAUAGAGAAAGAUACAAAACUCUAUUAUCUAUAUUUUAAUUUCAAAUUAUAUACCUAAGACAAGAAGAAAUUCGUUUUAUUUUCCUAAUUUCACGAAAGGAAGAACUCACUCUUGGUGAUAAAGGCUUCUUGAUUCGUAAUCAGGAAUAUAGGUCAAAAAAGAGUUAUCCUCAACUUUAGUUUUGAUUCUUUCUACAAUUAGAUCUUCUAUCACCAAAGAAAGGGCCAUUAUUAUCUUAUUUACUUUAUCUUAUUUACUUUGAUUCCGAUAAACUAACUACUUUUUUGCUACAAACACAAAUAAAAUAAAAUAAUGGCCUUAGUGCUCUACUUGAUUUUGCUUGACUUUUGAUUCAAAGGAAAAAAGGCGUGGAGCUUAAAUAACUCACUCAGAACGCUUUUUAAAAGAUUACGUGGUACAAUUAGGUCGAAUAAACCCUUCUGGAAUAAGUAUUCAGCUACUUGUGAACCUUCGGGUACUGUUUUAUUCAAUGUUUGUUCAAUUACUCUUUUACCUGCAAAUGCAAUGUAGGCAUUGGGUUCGGCAAUAAUGAUAUCCCCCAACAUACCAAAACUAGCUGUCACUCCACCAGUUGUCGGAGAUGUAAGGAUUGAUACAUAAAAUAAUUUUUUAUUUAAUUGAUAAUCAUAUAAAGCAGACGAUAUUUUAGCCAUUUGCAUCAAGCUCAAACUUCCUUCCUGCAUGCGCGCCCCCCCAGAAGCACACACUAUAAUAAGAGGUAAAAUUUGAUUGGCAGCGUGUUCAAUCAAACGGGUGAUUUUCUCUCCGACUACGGAUCCCAUACUACCCCCCAUAAACUGAAAAUCCAUAACCCCAAUUGCUACGGGAAUGCCGUUUAUUUGGCCUAUGCCUGUUUGAACAGCCUCGGUUAAUCCUGUCUUUCUUUGAUAAGAAUCAAUACGAUCUUUAUAAGGCUCCUCUUCCGAAUGAAAUUCAAUGGGAUCCAGAGAGACCAUGUCUUCAUCCAUAGGAUCCCAAGUACCCGGAUCGACCAAAAGUUCAAUUCUGUCCGAACUACUCAUUUUCAAAUGAUAUCCACAUUGUUCACAAAUAUUCAUUUUUGAUUUAAAAAAUUUCUUAUAAUUUAAUCCAUAACAAUUCUCGCAUUGAACCCACAAAUGCCUGUAUUUUUGAGUUACCUCGAGAUCAUUAGAACUUUCUCUUAUAGUUAAAUCACUGCCAUUAGUUAAAUCACUGCCAAUAGUUAAAACACUGCCAUUAGAACUUUCUCUUAUAGUUAAAUCACUACCGUUAGAACUUUCUCUUAUAGUUAAAUCACUGCCAAUAGUUAAAUCACUGCCAAUAGAUAAAUCACUACCAUUAGAACUUUCUCUUAUAGUUAAAUCAUUGCCCUUUGUGCGAGUUUGUAUACUGGAACCCUCAUUUUCACUACUAUUUUUACUUUCACCACCACAAACGGCCCUAUAAAUGUAACUGUCACUGUAAUUCUCACUACCACUUAUAAUGGAAGUGUCGAUACAGAUUUGAGACUGAAGAUAAUUAUCAAUGCAACUAUUUAUGUGAUUAUUCCAACUAUAUUGAGUAUCAUACAUGUAAAAAUUAUAGUAAGGAUCUUCGCCCCUAAAUCCAUUAUUCAGAUAACUUGAGUUUCGGUAACUGUAAAAAGAACUUUCUAGUUCACGCAGAAAAGAAUGAUCAUUGUCAAUCUCAAAAAUCUGAUUGUCAAUAUCAAAAUAGAUGGAAUAAUUGUCUCCAUUCCUAUCACUAACAACAAAAGUGUCAUCAGAGAUGAAAUUUCGAAUGUCGUUAACGCGGAAUAAAUAAUCAGCAUUAUUGCAACUAGGAAUGUUUUUAACUUUUUGAUUUGGAUCUUCACUGGUAUUUUCAAUAGGACCAAGACUGCCCAUUGAUUUAUUUAGCCCACACCUAUGUUCGAACACCUUCUUAAACAACAUCGAAUUAAACCACCAUCUUUCCAUAAAGUUUUCUUGCCCCAUAUUUGCAUGAAAAUACAAUAGAUGAAUAGUCAUUCGCUAUAAAAUUAUUUAUUUGAAUAUCGUAUUUCCUAUCAGACUAAACAUAGAAAUCUAAUCACUAGGAUUAUUAGUAGGAUUAUUAGUGAGUAUUGAGAAAAAGUUCUGAAUCUGGGGGAACACUUCACUAUAUAUUAAUAUGUCGGAACCCCCUUUUAUUAUUUUAUUAUUAAAAAUAAUAUAAAUAUAAUAAUAUAAUUUUUGAUAAGGGGCGGCUUCUCCUAUGUCGUGUCAAAUUCGCAUCGAAAAAAAGAGAUUUGUCCUCUCCUAUACUCCUAUAAAGAAAUCAAAAAAAUUUUCUUAAAAUCUCGUCUAAUACUAAUAUCUAAUCACUAACUAAUCUAAAAUCUAAUAAAAUAAUAAGUAAUAAAUUAAGCUUCCAUUUCAACACGGAACGGAACAAAGGGGACAAUAUACAGGAUGGGUAGAAAGAGUUGUGCUACUUGGCUUGAUUCAGGGAAACUACAAACUACAGGAUAGAAAAAAAUAUACCAAUCCUAAGAAUCCGUAGGAUUUAUUGUGGAUCCAAGACAACAAUAGAAAGAUUUGAGUCUUACAUUUUUAUUUAGUUUUCUAGAUUUUGUAUUUCAAAUCUUGUAUAUCUAGGUAAGUAUAUACUUAGUCAAAAUAUAUGCAAUAGAAUUUUUGUUGUAUUCG